GAUGGACGCUGGCGGCGUGCCUAAUACAUGCAAGUCGAGCGAACGGACGAGAAGCUUGCUUCUCUGAUGUUAGCGGCGGACGGGUGAGUAACACGUGGAUAACCUACCUAUAAGACUGGGAUAACUUCGGGAAACCGGAGCUAAUACCGGAUGAUAUUUUGAACCGCAUGGUUCAAAAGUGAAAGACGGUCUUGCUGUCACUUAUAGAUGGAUCCGCGCUGCAUUAGCUAGUUGGUAAGGUAACGGCUUACCAAGGCAACGAUGCAUAGCCGACCUGAGAGGGUGAUCGGCCACACUGGAACUGAGACACGGUCCAGACUCCUACGGGAGGCAGCAGUAGGGAAUCUUCCGCAAUGGGCGAAAGCCUGACGGAGCAACGCCGCGUGAGUGAUGAAGGUCUUCGGAUCGUAAAACUCUGUUAUUAGGGAAGAACAUAUGUGUAAGUAACUGUGCACAUCUUGACGGUACCUAAUCAGAAAGCCACGGCUAACUACGUGCCAGCAGCCGCGGUAAUACGUAGGUGGCAAGCGUUAUCCGGAAUUAUUGGGCGUAAAGCGCGCGUAGGCGGUUUUUUAAGUCUGAUGUGAAAGCCCACGGCUCAACCGUGGAGGGUCAUUGGAAACUGGAAAACUUGAGUGCAGAAGAGGAAAGUGGAAUUCCAUGUGUAGCGGUGAAAUGCGCAGAGAUAUGGAGGAACACCAGUGGCGAAGGCGACUUUCUGGUCUGUAACUGACGCUGAUGUGCGAAAGCGUGGGGAUCAAACAGGAUUAGAUACCCUGGUAGUCCACGCCGUAAACGAUGAGUGCUAAGUGUUAGGGGGUUUCCGCCCCUUAGUGCUGCAGCUAACGCAUUAAGCACUCCGCCUGGGGAGUACGACCGCAAGGUUGAAACUCAAAGGAAUUGACGGGGACCCGCACAAGCGGUGGAGCAUGUGGUUUAAUUCGAAGCAACGCGAAGAACCUUACCAAAUCUUGACAUCCUUUGACAACUCUAGAGAUAGAGCCUUCCCCUUCGGGGGACAAAGUGACAGGUGGUGCAUGGUUGUCGUCAGCUCGUGUCGUGAGAUGUUGGGUUAAGUCCCGCAACGAGCGCAACCCUUAAGCUUAGUUGCCAUCAUUAAGUUGGGCACUCUAAGUUGACUGCCGGUGACAAACCGGAGGAAGGUGGGGAUGACGUCAAAUCAUCAUGCCCCUUAUGAUUUGGGCUACACACGUGCUACAAUGGACAAUACAAAGGGCAGCGAAACCGCGAGGUCAAGCAAAUCCCAUAAAGUUGUUCUCAGUUCGGAUUGUAGUCUGCAACUCGACUACAUGAAGCUGGAAUCGCUAGUAAUCGUAGAUCAGCAUGCUACGGUGAAUACGUUCCCGGGUCU
rnacentral:rRNA from 1 species